rnacentral:lncRNA from 1 species
AUUUGGAAAUGAGUUUUGGCUGAGAAUGUGUUAAGCAGAGUCAUAAGAGAUGAUGGUCUGAAAUACAAGCUAAAAGAGCAUAGGGAGUCUUGCUGGAAUAGAACCUUCCUGACUGAUUUUUGGCUAUUUAUAAAUAUGGGAGAGAACUGGGUUGAUAGUGAGAUAUUGCUAGAGUUUGUGGUUUUUGAAUGAAGCAUUUGAAGUGAAAUGAGUGUGAUUGAAAAUAUAGGUGGGAUAAGAUAAUGGCAGAGAUUACAUUCAUUGACAGGAAGUCAGGAUUUUCCUUGUGAGUGAUAGGAAGCAUUCAAAGGAUUCAGCCAAGAAGCAUCAGAGGAAGAAGUGCAGAAAUGCUCUACUGGAGCAUUUGUAUUCCUUAAUGAUUGUGUGUCAAUCAAAAUGAAAAAUCUCCAUGUCUGUAUUUUCUUCUAAGAAUGUGGAGAGUGGAUUUCAAGUUCGUCAGGUGUAGAAACAGAACCAUGAACCAAAGAAGAGGAGUCUUUGGAAUUUUCUAAGACCCCACAAAAAUGUGGAAAUGUAAAACAAAGUAGAAAUAAUAAUGUGUAUAAAAUCUGGAUAACGUUACCAAUGCAAAUUGAGUGCUUGACUCUAUAUUCAGAGGAAAGCUGUCUUGGCUUGAAUUUUUUAGAAGCAGACCCUGAGAUGAGAAUUUAAGUGGUAGCAGUUUAAUUUGGAAAGGAAGAAAAUGCCAUCAGGAAAAUAAGGAAAUAAAGCAAGGAAGAUAUUUCAGUGAAUAAAGGGCAUAUUUUCAUGCAAAUUACCACUGUGGGCAACUGGCACUUAAUCCCACUGAGAAACUUUAGAAGACAGUAGAGAACAUAUGCUUUAUAACUAUGUUAACAGACACAUAUAAAUGGAUUCUACCCAAGGAGAAUAGAUGUAGGAUAUUUAUAAACCAGCUCCCAUCAGCUAUUGGUCAAAAGCAGGGACUGUUAAUCUUUUGGUCUUCUUAUUUUCUAUGCACUGAGAUGCAGAUACCUCUAAUAGCAAGUUAGACAUGAAAAUGGUAUGACCCUAGGAAUAAAUGCAGGACAACCAUAUAUUCUGCCAAAGUUAAUUUUAAAAAUAGAUCUCCCCACCCCAAAAUUUGCACUAGAUGAUGAUUUCACUGAUGUAGAGCAAAGUGCUAAGGGGUUACAAAGAGAAAACAGAAUUUAUUUCUUGGCAGGUUGGAUUUGAGGACUCAAUAGUAGCAAUGCAUGUUUGGGUGACAGGAUCUGCAUACACAGAAUAUCCAUGCAUUGAAAUGUGAUCCUUUGUAUAAAUUAUAUAGUCAGACUGGUGGAUUAACAGGGCAAACCUUAAGAUUGCCACCAUUUCAGAGUUAAGCCAAGAAUAGAGAGAAAGCAAAAUAUUGAACAUAGUCAACAUUUAUAAAGGGCUAAUGAGAUGUGUCCAAUUCUCAUUUACUUAGUCUUUAGUGAUCCGAGUAAGAACAGCUUUUAGAAUAGAUACAUGUGGGAACAGGCUUAGUAGUAACCUACCAUCCUGUUUCUAUGGCUGAAAAGAAGAUUGGAUGGCAGUUUAUAAGAGAAAGACUAUUGAAGAUGGUGUUUUUUUAGCUUUCUCAUAGACCAAAGGUUAGAAGAACGAGUAGAGUUUAAACAAGGGAGACAACCAGGGGAGAACUGGCGAUAUAGGGCAAAGUUCCAAAAAUGAUCAUGUCAAAUGGUUCAGGCAACAUGGAUGCCUACAAGUAAUAUGGGUCUCUUAUCCUAGAUCUGAAAGAAUUACAGAGGAAGAUAGAUGAAUUCAAGUUAGGAGAAAAUUGAAACUUAGUACUUAAAAGGACAUGAUGCUUA